rnacentral:rRNA from 1 species
AUUGAACGCUGGCGGCAGGCCUAACACAUGCAAGUCGAGCGGAGCGGCGGACGGGUGAGUAAUGUAUGGGGAUCUGCCCGAUAGAGGGGGAUACCUACUGGAAACGGUGGCUAAUACCGCAUACUAUCGGAUGAACCCAUAUGGGAUUAGCUAGUAGGGGGGGUAAAGGCCUACCAAGGCGACGAUCCGUACCUGGUCUGAGAGGAUGAUCAGUCACACUGGAACUGAGACACGGUCCAGACUCCUACGGGAGGCAGAAGUGGGGAAUAUGGGACAAGGGGCGAAAGCCUGAUCCAGCCAUGCCGCGUGUGUGAAGAAGGUCUUCGGAUUGUAAAGCACUUGAAGUUGGGAGGCGUUACCAACAGAAUAAGCACCGGCUAACUUCGUGCCAGCAGCCGCGGUAAUAC